rnacentral:rRNA from 1 species
UUGACCUCAAAUCAGGUAGGACUACCCGCUGAACUUAAGCAUAUCAAUAAGCGGAGGAAAAGAAACUAACAAGGAUUCCCCUAGUAACUGCGAGUGAAGCGGGAAAAGCUCAAAUUUUGAAUCUGGCGGUCUUUGCAGGCCGUCCGAGUUGUAAUCUAGAGAAGCGUCUUCCGCGCCGGCCUGUGUACAAGUCUCCUGGAAGGGAGCGUCAUAGAGGGUGAGAAUCCCGUCUCUGACACGGACCACCGGUGCUAUGUGAUGCGCUCUCGACGAGUCGAGUUGUUUGGGAAUGCAGCUCAAAAAGGGUGGUAAACUCCAUCUAAAGCUAAAUAUUGGCGAGAGACCGAUAGCGAACAAGUACCGUGAGGGAAAGAUGAAAAGGACUCUGGAAAGAGAGUUAAACAGUACGUGAAAUUGCUGAAAGGGAAACGCUCGAUGUCAGUCGCGUCGGCUGGGGGUCAACCUUGCGGUUUCGCUGGGUGUAUUUCCUGGUCGACGGGUCAGCAUCAGUUUUGGUCGUCGUACAAGGGCCAAGGGAAAGUGGCACCCUUCCGGGGGUGUGUUAUAGCCUUUCGGUCGUAUGUGGCGGCUCGGGACUGAGGAGACUCGG